GGCCAGCACAAGAGCUCUGCCAUAAAAGGACAUUGGACAGAAGUGAAGAGUCCAAUCAGAAACUCUUUUUGAGAGACUGAACGCAAAGCAUUCAGAGAGUCAGCAGGCUGGAGAGGCCAAGACACACACACGAAGAAGGCAAUUGAGAGCUGUACUAGCCUGGCAUGCAGACAGCAGCUUUAGAAUCAGAUCUGCCUUCUGGCGGCUUCCCACCUAGGAGCCAUGGGACCUUUGUGAAGUCACCAAUUGUGCUGUGGAUGCUUCAUUUGUGAAGGAGAACAGGACUGCCUUAUGAGGAAACUGAGGUACAGAUGGGAAACUUGCUCAAGUUCACACAGCAAUUAAGUGAUCAAGUCCAAGAGCAAAACCAGGCAGGCUGGCUCCAGAGCUCACGAUAGUCCACCACUGCUUUCCACCAUCACUACGGAAUCAAGUCCAUGAGGAUACUCACCUUAUGUCAGUUGCCUAAGUUGGAAAUUAUAGAAUCUUCAAAUUGGAAGGGACGUUAUCAUCCAAGAUUUCAACUUUCUACUCACUGCAAAAUCCCUUCUGGAACUUCCCAGAUUGAUGAAUUUUCAUCAGCUCUGCUUGAGUACUCCCAGUGACUUGGAAAAAAAACACUGUAAUAUGGAUAUGAAAUAUAAACUGUUCAUGGAUAAAUUAUUGCAUAAUAAAAACAUGCCUAAUGGCUAC
rnacentral:lncRNA from 10 species